CUCGGAUCAGGUAGGAAUACCCGCUGAACUUAAGCAUAUCAAUAAGCGGAGGAAAAGAAACCAACAGGGAUUGCCUCAGUAACGGCGAGUGAAGCGGCAACAGCUCAAAUUUGAAAUCUGGCCCCCAGGCCCGAGUUGUAAUUUGUAGAGGAUGCUUCUGGCGACGCGACUUCCGAGUUCCCUGGAACGGGACGCCAAAGAGGGUGAGAGCCCCGUCCGGUCGUUCGCCUAGCCUCUGUGAAGCUCCUUCGACGAGUCGAGUAGUUUGGGAAUGCUGCUCUAAAUGGGAGGUAUACGUCUUCUAAAGCUAAAUACCGGCCAGAGACCGAUAGCGCACAAGUAGAGUGAUCGAAAGAUGAAAAGCACUUUGAAAAGAGGGUUAAAUAGUACGUGAAAUUGCUGAAAGGGAAGCGCUUAUGACCAGACUUGGGCCAGGUGAAUCAUCCGGCGUUCUCGCCGGUGCACUUUGCCUGCCCAGGCCAGCAUCAGUUCGCUUCGGGGGAUAAAGGCUUCGGGAAUGUAGCUCCUCCGGGAGUGUUAUAGACCGUUGCGUAAUACCCUGGGGCGGACUGAGGUACGCGUUCUGCAAGGAUGCUGGCGUAAUGGUCAUCAGUGACCCGUCUUG
rnacentral:rRNA from 1 species